rnacentral:rRNA from 1 species
UGCGUAGGGUGCAAGCGUUGUCCGGAAUUAUUGGGCGUAAAGAGCUCGUAGGCGGUUUGUCGCGUCUGCUGUGAAAACUCAGGGCUUAACCCUGAGCCUGCAGUGGGUACGGGCAGACUAGAGUGUGGUAGGGGAGAUCGGAAUUCCUGGUGUAGCGGUGGAAUGCGCAGAUAUCAGGAGGAACACCGGUGGCGAAGGCGGAUCUCUGGGCCAUAACUGACGCUGAGGAGCGAAAGCAUGGGGAGCGAACAGG